CACGUAGGGGGCAAGCGUUGUCCGGAUUUAUUGGGCGUAAAGAGCUCGUAGGCGGCUCACUAAGUCGGGUGUGAAAUUUCGAGGCUCAACCUCGAAACGCCACCCGAUACUGGUGUGGCUAGAGUCCGGUAGGGGAGCGUGGAAUUCCUGGUGUAGCGGUGAAAUGCGCAGAUAUCAGGAGGAACACCAGCGGCGAAGGCGGCGCUCUGGGCCGGUACUGACGCUGAGGAGCGAAAGCGUGGGGAUCAAACAGG
rnacentral:rRNA from 1 species